rnacentral:rRNA from 1 species
UACGGAGGGUGCAAACGUUGCUCGGAAUCAUUGGGCGUAAAGCGCACGUAGGCGGUCCCGUAAGUCGGAUGUGAAAGCCCUCGGCUCAACCGAGGAAGUGCAUUCGAAACUGCUGGGCUUGAGUACGGAAGAGGGUCUCGGAAUUCCCGGUGUAGAGGUGAAAUUCGUAGAUAUCGGGAGGAACACCAGUGGCGAAGGCGGAGACCUGGGCCGAUACUGACGCUGAGGUGCGAAAGCGUCGGGAGCAAACAGG